ensembl:misc_RNA
AGAUCCCUUCUAGAUCCAUGGUGUGUAAAUUUAUCAUUCCUGAACUUUCUUCCUUUAUGCAAAAUCCCAUUC